GGGUAGACUCGGGUGGGGUGGGGCUCUUAAGGUUGCGCAGCGGGGACAAGGAAUGCAAAGUAAAGCAGCCCUCACACUUUGGUACUGGGUCCACAGAUUGGCCAAGGACGGCGCCAUUUUUGGGACAUGGGAGCAAAAGCGGGAAGGGAUCGGUGCACAACAAGCUGUAGGGGUGGUGAGGAGGAGGAGAGCAUCAAAACCAUUUUCAAGGCGUUGGGUUGGCUCGCUUUCUGACUGAAACAGCCCAUCUGGUUGUCUCUUUCUCAAGGGCUCAGCUGCUGUUCUUGUCACUUCCAUCCUGUCAAGGCCCCCCUUGCAAUGCGCUGUGACUGAUCACCCUUUGUAACCCAAAUCAAAGUUCUGGCUCAUCUGAUUGAGCGCUGACAACUUUAGGUACUAAUGCUACGGGUUUUAAGGACUGUAAUCCCUUGUGCAGAGUAGUCUCGAUGUAGUUAUUCGUAUUUAUUACCACGUCCACUGCAUGUGGCGCAAUCUGAAUUGUGACUCAGCGGGGGGGUUUCGGGAAUUUUGUGAGGUAAAUGCGGAUUGCUAGGCUAGUGCAUGAAAUCGAGAAGCUGCCCAAUUUUCGUGGUGGUUUGGGCUGUGGGUACCUUUCGUCUCUUACACGAGUGUUUUUCUUUGUAUUGAAGCCAUGCGGGCAUCCGUUUCCUGGUGGGAGAGUCGUUUCUCCUGAUCUGAGCUUCUCAAACCUGAUCCUGCAGAGCAUCCAGGUCGGCUUGUGCAUCUCUUGUCAGCGUUGGCUCUGAUCUUUGAGUUUUUUUGUGAAAGCAACGUGCGUUAAUUACAGUUGAUUAGGACUUUGUAGGGUGUUCAUAGAGGUUCUGAUGCUCGCUGGUUGCGGAGUAUAGGUGUCGUUUGAAAGUCCUUGAACACGACAAUGGUGACCUAAUCUGUGGAGACUGUGGUUUUGUACAUUUGCCUUGGGUUUUCGCUGCGUUCAGUAUUGCACAAUGUGUGGGUUUCGUUUGCUAGCUUUAGGGUUUGAUAAGACCAAUGAUUGGCUUUCGAGUGCUGAGCACAAUUUGGAAGAAAGUAUGGCAACAAGUCGCUAUUACUUCUGCUUGGUAAGAGAGUCCUCGCUAGUACUUGAUCAGACAGGACCUGAGGUAACAAUUGGCGAUCCAGAUCGUGAGACACUAUUUUGACAUGAAACCCUAGUUUUGGCCACUUCCGAGCUUAGAAGGUAAGGAGUUGUUGAUUCCAAGCAAUUGACCUUUUACCAUCUGAACCUUAGUCGGGAACCCCGCCAUCACGAGUAUUGGACAGUGCUUUCCUGAAAGCUCAGUGAUGGCUGCGAAACGCCGUGCACUUUGUGGUUGCUUUACGCAAUCAAAUGAGUCGAGUUCCACUGUCAGGACGCUGUGCUCCAGUUGGGUCUCUUUAAUGCUUCUUCUGGGAAAGGAUGGCGACGCUCUUAAGGAAUACAGGGGCAAAACGAAACUGUAAUCAGCGAGUUUUGAGUGCCUGCCUCACACUCUUAAGCACAUCGGUUGACUUGAACCACUCGUUGCGCAGCAAUGUUUUGUAUUAAUUAGCUCAUGAAUCUCUUAUUAUCAACACUGCUUGGCAGAAACAGCUCAGAGAAAGCUGUUUCUCAGAGAUAAUAACUGUAUUCAUGAAUUCAACGGAUCAUAGAAUCAACUUUGCAAAACACCCUGGAUCAUCUUUCUCACCCCCCCGAAGAAGAAGAAGAAGAAGAAAUGUGUCGGUUGACCUUGUUAAAGACAGGUUGAAAAGCUCCAGUCGUGUUGAGUCUGGAAACAGAGCUACGUAGUCUCAAUGCCUUUCCCUCAGACGCACAAGUGGAAGACAGCGCUAACAAGCCAGCUCGUGCCUGAAAGAAAACAGGAUCUUAUCUAGGAUUUUUUCCACAACUGGACAUGAAGGAUACAAGCCUCAAGAAUGAUAUCCAAGCCACGAUCCACACAUAAGGAUCCACACAGAAACGUCCAAGAGAAUGCCGACAACAGAGUAGCCUCACUCAAGCUCAUGCUGAUGCUUGAAAGAAAAGCUGAUAAGGGCCAUCAAGGAGCAAUAGCGCAGCAAAGCAGAUGCACGCACACCUUUUCUUACCAUGACAUUGAACAUUCUCCUCGAAUCAAUCAAACCUGAC
rnacentral:lncRNA from 1 species